GACGAACGCUGGCGGCGUGCUUAACACAUGCAAGUCGAACGGAAAGGCCCUGCUUUUGUGGGGUGCUCGAGUGGCGAACGGGUGAGUAACACGUGAGUAACCUGCCCUUGACUUUGGGAUAACUUCAGGAAACUGGGGCUAAUACCGGAUAGGAGCUCCUGCUGCAUGGUGGGGGUUGGAAAGUUUCGGCGGUUGGGGAUGGACUCGCGGCGUAUCAGCCUGUUGGUGGGGGAGUGGCUUACCAAGGCUUUGACGGGUAGCCGGCCUGAGAGGGUGACCGGCCACAUUGGGACUGAGAUACGGCCCAGACUCCUACGAGAGGCAGCGGUGGGGAAUAUUGCACAAUGGGCGGAAGCCUGAUGCAGCAACGCCGCGUGCGGGAUGACGGCCUUCGGGUUGUAAACCGCUUUCGCCUGUGACGAAGCGUGAGUGACGGUAAUGGGUAAAGAAGCACCGGCUAACUACGUGCCAGCCGCCGCCGUAA
rnacentral:rRNA from 1 species